GUAAGAGAAGUAAUUCUUUGAGCUGACCGGUACUAAUAGCCCGAGGGCUUGUUCA
rnacentral:rRNA from 1 species